rnacentral:rRNA from 1 species
ACUCAAAGGAAUUGACGGGGACCCGCACAAGCGGUGGAGCGUGUUGUUUAAUUCGAAGAUAAGCGAAGAACCUUACCAAGGCUUGACUUCCUGCGAAGGUUUCCGAAAGGAAAUUGUGCCUUUUAGGAGCGCAGUGACAGGUGCUGCAUGGCCGUCGUCAGCUCGUGUCGUGAGAUGUAUGGUUAAGUCCAUUAACGAGCGCAACCCUUAUGAUUAGUUGGAUUUUUCUAAUCAGACUGCCCUGGCAACAGGGAGGAAGGAGGGGAUGAUGUCAGGUCAGUAUUGCCCUUACGUCUUGGGCGACAAACACGCUACAAUGGCCGGUACAAAGGGCAGCCAACUCGCGAGAGGGAGCAAACCCCAUCAAAGCUGGUCUUAGUUCGGAUUGCAGGCUGAAACUCGCCUGCAUGAAGUCGGAAUCGCUAGUAACGGUGGGUCAGCUAUACUACCGUGAAUACGUUCCCGGGUCUUGUACACACCGCCCGU